rnacentral:rRNA from 1 species
GAUGAACGCUGGCGGCGUGCCUAAUACAUGCAAGUCGAGCGAAUGGAUUAAGAGCUUGCUCUUAUGAAGUUAGCGGCGGACGGGUGAGUAACACGUGGGUAACCUGCCCAUAAGACUGGGAUAACUCCGGGAAACCGGGGCUAAUACCGGAUAACAUUUUGAACCGCAUGGUUCGAAAUUGAAAGGCGGCUUCGGCUGUCACUUAUGGAUGGAACCGCGUCGCAUUAGCUAGUUGGUGAGGUAACGGCUCACCAAGGCAAAGAUGCGUAGCCGACCUGAGAGGGGGAUCGGCCACACUGGGACUGAGACACGGCCCAGACUCCUACGGGAGGCAGCAGUAGGGAAUCUUCCGCAAUGGACGAAAGUCUGACGGAGCAACGCCGCGUGAGUGAUGAAGGCUUUCGGGUCGUAAAACUCUGUUGUUAGGGAAGAACAAGUGCUAGUUGAAUAAGCUGGCACCUUGACGGUACCUAACCAGAAAGCCACGGCUAACUACGUGCCAGCCGCCGCCGCAG